UGCGCCCUACGGGGGGCAGCAGUGGGGAAUAUUGGGCAAUGGGCGCAAGCCUGACCCAGCAACGCCGCGUGAAGGAAGAAGGCUUUCGGGUUGUAAACUUCUUUUAUCAGGGACGAAACAAAUGACGGUACCUGAUGAAUAAGCCACGGCUAACUACGUGCCAGCAGCCGCGGUAAUACGUAGGUGGCAAGCGUUAUCCGGAUUUACUGGGUGUAAAGGGCGUGUAGGCGGGAAAGCAAGUCAGAUGUGAAAACCACGGGCUCAACCUGCGGCCUGCAUUUGAAACUGUUUUUCUUGAGUACUGG
rnacentral:rRNA from 1 species